rnacentral:lncRNA from 1 species
CAUUUACUUCAAUUCGUGCAUCUCCACGUCAGAUGCAAGAAGAAAACUUAGCACGUUCCAUACAUUUUUCAUACUUCCAACUAAAACCAAAUUUCUAGUUGUUCAAAGGCUCAAUGAAAUCCAUUUAAGGGAGUAACUGGAGUCACAUUUUUUAAAUUUCCGAAGAGUAAUUUCAUCAAACAUCUUGGUUGCAAGUGCUAUGUUGUCACUAAUUCUGCACCGUAAAUCUGCAAGUGCUAUUUACACGUGCUUUAUGUUCAUGAAACCUUGUCAAAAUUAUCUGGAUGGAGGAUGGUAGAAUUUCCAGUAAACUUUUUAGCUCCACUAUUUAUUCACUCUUGAUUUACUUCAAUUUGUACAUCUCCAUUCGAGUUGCAGAAAUUGAAACAACUCCAUCUGGCUACCUAUUUAUUAAUUGGUUAUGGCUAAUGUUCAAUCAGACAUUCAUAACUAGUAUGCAUUACCGCAAAUUUUGUGGUAUCCACAACUAUUCAUCUUUGUUGAAAACGAAGAUGAUAUAGACUUGCGCUCUGAUGUCACUUGUUGAAGAAAAUAUGAA